rnacentral:rRNA from 1 species
CGCGGUAAUUCCAGCUCCAAUAGCGUAUAUUAAAGUUGUUGCGGUUAAAAAGCUCGUAGUUGGAUCUGUGUCCCGCACCGUCUGUUCACCGCCUGUCGGUGUUCAACUGGCGUGUAUGCGGGACGUCCUGCCGGUGGCGGUCCGGUUCCCCGUUGGCACGUAGGGGUCGUCCCCGCUCGCGCGUCGUCCCCGAAGGCCUUCGCGGUGUAUCCGGCCGCCUUUUCGAUCCCGUCGCGGUGCUCUUCACCGAGUGUCGAGGCGGGCCGGCACGUUUACUUUGAACAAAUUAGAGUGCUUUAAGCAGGCCCUGUCCCGCCUGUAUGUUGUGUGCAUGGAAUAAUGGAAUAGGACCUCGGUUCUAUUUUGUUGGUUUUCGGAAUCUGAGGUAAUGAUCAAUGGGGACAGGCGGGGGCAUUCGUAUUGCGACGUUAGAGGUGAAAUUCUUGGAUCGUCGCAAGACGGACCGAAGCGAAAGCAUUUGCCAAGUAUGUUCUCGUGAUCAAGAACGAAAGUUAGAGGUUCGAAGGCGAUCAGAUACCGCCCUAGUUCUAACCAUAAACUAUGCCUGCCAGCGAUCCGCCGAAGUUCCUCCGAUGACUCGGCGGGCAGCUUCCGGGAAACCAGAGCUUUUGGGUUCCGGGGGAAGUAUGGUUGCAAAGCUGAAACUUAAAGGAAUUGACGGAAGGGCACCACCAGGAGUGGAGCCUGCGGCUUAAUUUGACUCAACACGGGAAAACUCACCAGGCCCGGACACCGGAAGGAUUGACAGAUUGAGAGCUCUUUCUUGAUUCGGUGGGUGGUGGUGCAUGGCCGUUCUUAGUUGGUGGACCGAUUUGUCUGGUUAAUUCCGAUAACGAACGAGACUCUAGCCUACUAACUAGGCGUACCCGGUAUCCACAAUCGUGCUACCGGCGAUUAAAUUUCUUCUUAGAGGGACAGGCGGCAUCUAGCCGACCGAGACUGAGCAAUAACAGGUCUGUGAUGCCCUUAGAUGUCCUGGGCCGCACGCGCGCUACACUGAAGGAAUCAGCGUGUCUUCCCUGUCCGAAAGGCCCGGGUAACCCGCUGAACCUCCUUUGUGCUAGGGAUUGGGGCUUGCAAUUGUUCCCCAUGAACGAGGAAUUCCCAGUAAGCGCGAGUCAUAAGCUCGCGUUGAUUACGUCCCUGCCCUUUGUACACACCGCCCGUCGCUACUACCGAUUGAAUGAUUUAGUGAGGUCUUCGGACUGGUGCGCCGGAAGGCGCAUCCGCCGUCUCCGAUGUUGCUGGAAAGAUGACCAAACUUGAUCAUUUAGAGGAAGUAAAAGUCGUAACAAGGUUUCCGUAGGUGAACCUGCGGAAGGA